CCUACGGGAGGCAGCAGUGGGGGAUAUUGCACAAUGGGGGAAACCCUGAUGCAGCGACGCCGCGUGAGGGAAGAAGGAUUUCGGUAUGUAAAGCUCUAUCAGCAGGGAAGAAAAUGACAGUACCUGACCAAGAAGCCCCGGCUAACGUCGUGCCAGCAGCCGCGGUAAUACGUAGGGGGCAAGCGUUAUCCGGAUUUACGGGGGGUAAAGGGGGCGUAGGCGGUUAUGUAAGUCGGUAGUGAAAGCCCGGGGCCCAACCCCGGGACUGCUUUGGAAACUGGGUAACUGGAGUACAGGAGGGGCAGGCGGAAUUCCUGGUGUAGCGGUGAAAUGCGUAGAUAUCAGGAGGAACACCGGCGGCGAAGGCGGCCUGCUGGACUGAAACUGACGUUGAGGCUCGAAAGCGUGGGUAUCGAACAGGAUUAGAUACCCGGGUAGUC
rnacentral:rRNA from 1 species